rnacentral:rRNA from 1 species
GAUGAACGCUGGCGGCGUGCCUAAUACAUGCAAGUCGAGCGAACGGACGAGAAGCUUGCUUCUCUGAUGUUAGCGGCGGACGGGUGAGUAACACGUGGAUAACCUACCUAUAAGACUGGUAUAACUUCGGGAAACCGGAGCUAAUACCGGAUAAUAUUUUGAACCGCAUGGUUCAAAAGUGAAAGACGGUCUUGCUGUCACUUAUAGAUGGAUCCGCGCUGCAUUAGCUAGUUGGUAAGGUAACGGCUUACCAAGGCAACGAUGCAUAGCCGACCUGAGAGGGUGAUCGGCCACACUGGAACUGAGACACGGUCCAGACUCCUACGGGAGGCAGCAGUAGGGAAUCUUCCGCAAUGGGGGAAAGCCUGACGGAGCAACGCCGCGUGAGUGAUGAAGGUCUUCGGAUCGUAAAACUCUGUUAUUAGGGAAGAACAUAUGUGUAAGUAACUGUGCACAUCUUGACGGUACCUAAUCAGAAAGCCACGGCUAACUACGUG